rnacentral:rRNA from 1 species
UGAGGAAUAUUGGUCAAUGGACGGAAGUCUGAACCAGCCACGUAGCGUGCAGGAUGACGGCCCUAUGGGUUGUAAACUGCUUUUGUAUGGGGAUAAAGUUAGGGACGUGUCCCUAUUUGCAGGUACCAUACGAAUAAGGACCGGCUAAUUCCGUGCCAGCAGCCGCGGUCAUACGGAAGGUCCAGGCGUUAUCCGGAUUUAUUGGGUUUAAAGGGAGCGUAGGCUGGAGAUUAAGUGUGUUGUGAAAUGUAGACGCUCAACGUCUGAAUUGCAGCGCAUACUGGUGUCCUUGAGUACGCACAACGUUGGCGGAAUUCGUCGUGUAGCGGUGAAAUGCUUAGAUAUGACGAAGAACUCCGAUUGCGAAGGCAGCUGACGGGAGCGCAACUGACGCUUAAGCUCGAAGGUGCGGGUAUCAAACAG